rnacentral:misc_RNA from 1 species
CGCGGCGGGCCGUCAAUGACGACGUGGUCGGAAUUGCGGGCGAGUUCGGGGGCCUCGCGAUGCAGCGUGUCGCGCGCCAGGCCGACGACGCCGAAGGCGCGCGGCAAGCCCUCGCGCGAGCGUUGCUGCGACCAGUCGAGUGCCGAGCCUUGAGGAUCGGCGUCGAUCAGGGUGACGCGGUGUCCUCUCGCGGCCCACGCGCCGGCGAGGUGCAGCGCCAGCGUCGUCUUGCCGACGCCNACCUUUUUGAUUGAGCAGCGCGACGAUCAUCGGCGUCCUCCCGACGGAUCGCGAGGACGAUGGAGU